AUGCAUUUCGAACGGCAGCACGGGUGCUUGCACCUGCUGGCGAGUGGCGAACGGGUGAGUAAUACAUCGGAACAUGUCCUGUAGUGGGGGAUAGCCCGGCGAAAGCCGGAUUAAUACCGCAUACGAUCUACGGAUGAAAGCGGGGGACCUUCGGGCCUCGCGCUAUAGGGUUGGCCGAUGGCUGAUUAGCUAGUUGGUGGGGUAAAGGCCUACCAAGGCGACGAUCAGUAGCUGGUCUGAGAGGACGACCAGCCACACUGGGACUGAGACACGGCCCAGACUCCUACGGGAGGCAGCAGUGGGGAAUUUUGGACAAUGGGCGAAAGCCUGAUCCAGCAAUGCCGCGUGUGUGAAGAAGGCCUUCGGGUUGUAAAGCACUUUUGUCCGGAAAGAAAUCCUUGGCUCUAAUACAGUCGGGGGAUGACGGUACCGGAAGAAUAAGCACCGGCUAACUACGUGCCAGCAGCCGCGGUAAUACGUAGGGUGCGAGCGUUAAUCGGAAUUACUGGGCGUACAGCGUGCUGUGGCGGUUUGCUAAGACUCAUGUGAAAGCCCCGGGUUCAACCUGGAAACUGCAUUGGGGACUGUCAGGCUAAAAUAAGGGAAAGGAGGGUAAAAAUCCCCCGUGUACAGGUGAAAUCGU
rnacentral:rRNA from 1 species